GCAUCCCUGUGCCCCGCGGGGUCCGAGGCCCUCUCCGCAGACCCCCGCCCUCAACUUCUUACCCCGGUUUGGACAAAAAGCUGCCCCGCUCUUUGUCCCCGGCCCAGGCCAUGGCGGGCUGGGGCGCGGGAGGGUGGGCGCCGCGGGCCCGGGAGCAGGGUGGAGCGCCGCGCGGGGCCGGGGCCGGGGCCGGUGCGGGCUGCCACGCCGGAGUCUGCAGCGUGCGAGUGAGAAGUGAGCGCUCGGCGCGGGGCGAGCAGGUGCCCGAGGCGCCGAGAGCGCGAGAGCAAGCCGGAGCGGCGGCAGAUGAACAGGAAGGAAGUGGGUGUGAGAAAAGUGGAAAUGUUCCCAAGCUCAGCUUGCAAGGCGAGUCUGUUCCAGCCACCAGCAUCAGACACAGGCAGCAGAAGAAAACCGUAGGUGAACCUCAUUUAAAGACAAGUUACCUACGAAAUAUUAGGAUAUCAUCAAAUCGAGCAUGAGAUCAUAAAAAACAUACAGUGUGUUCAACUACAGCUUAUUCCAGCAACAAGGGGCCGUUCAACGUUGGAAAAUAUACUAAUCUAAUUACUCCACUGGCAGGUUAAAUCACGUGAGUCUCUUAAUAGAGGCUGAAGCAGCAUUUGAUGUAAUUCACCACACAUUCCUGAUCCAAAAGAUGAUUAGCCAUGUUAGCAAAUACCGGACUUACUGCUCGUUUGGGAGGGAGCCUUGAAAAGUCACAGCCGCUGAAAGAGCGAUUUCCAGAUUUCCCAGGACAGAGGGGUUUCUGGGAUGUGGAGUGUUUAGUGCUGAAACUGGUGGUCACCAUAUACAGAGGGCGUUGGCAGCAGCUCAGGCAAAGAAUGAUUAGGCUGUUCUAAAGAAGGAAAUGAAGCUUUUUUGUUUGUUCCAGAGAGGGAGGGGAAACAGCAGGAAGAGGGGCAGAAAACGGGAGUGAAGAAGCAAGAAUGUGUGAAGAGGAGCUGUGUGGAUGAGGGGCACCCCGAGGUGUGAUCCCGGGUCGCUGUAAGGACCAGGUGCCCGAUGCUGAGCGUGGGGCUGUGUUGUUGUGACAGAAGCCUCAGAGCACCUUUCUAUUCAUACCCGCUCCGUGUCGUGGAUGCUGGCUGUGCCCUGCCAGAUACGGUUGCAGAGUUCCUGGGCUGCUUGCUGCUUCACACCCCGCCCUCAGCUGUGAGUGUUAGCUGCUGCCCCCUCUCUGGGGAACUGCCCCAAGGUGAUUCCACCUCCCUGCUCCCCUCAGCAGUUGACCGAGUGACACAGGGAGUGCAGAAGGCUGCCCACCCAGUGCGACCAGGGAACCUAACCCCAGAGAACGCCCUUCAGCAAGGUCUAGCACAUUUGCAAGUGUGUGCGAGAGUUAAAGAUGGGCCGGGCUUUCCAUUGGAGCUGCGGAGUGAAUGAAAGAAACCUCAGCUAAAAUUGGAGUGAAGAAGUCUUGUAGGGGAACUCUCCUUCCCAGCCAGGCAUGGCCGAACAGGAAGAGACAGGCACCUACAUCCUGACAGGAAGGAGCAAGCCACCUUACUAUCCAGCAGGAAGAAGGAAACUUCCCUCCACCCUGACCGCCCUGCCGAUCUGAGCCUGCAGCAGCCCGGCCAGUGAGAAGCCUCCUGCUUCCAGUCACCAGGGGACUCUGGUGACUACAGCCCCUCCCAACUCCCUUCUUUUCCCUAUAAAAGCCAGCUCCCUUUCUUUGUUUCUGGAUUUGCCCAGGGUUUACAAUAGUUUGCAUAUCCCCAAUUGUAAUUCUUCUAGCUAUUCCCAAAUAAAUUUGCUUUUGG
ensembl:lncRNA